ACUCAAAGGAAUUGACGGGGGCCUGCACAAGCGGUGGAGUAUGUGGCUUAAUUCGAUGCAACGCGAAGAACCUUACCUGGCCUUGACAUGCAAGUAGUAGAACCAUGAAAGUGGGACGAGCCCGCAAGGGCAGCUUGCACAGGUGCUGCAUGGCUGUCGUCAGCUCGUGUCGUGAGAUGUUGGGUUAAGUCCCGCAACGAGCGCAACCCUUGUGUCCUGUUGCCACUCCUUCGAGAGAAGGAAGCACUCUGGACAGACUGCCUCGCUUAAACGAGGAGGAAGGUGGGGAUGACGUCAAGUCAGUAUGGCCCUUACGGCCAGGGCUGCACACGUACUACAAUGCAUGGCACAAAGGGAAGCUAGACCGUCAGGUGGAGCAAAUCCCAUAAAACCAUGCCCAGUUCAGAUUGUCGUCUGCAACUCGACGACAUGAAGCCGGAAUCGCUAGUAAUGGCGCAUCAGCUACGGCGCCGUGAAUACGUUCCCAGGCCUUGUACACACCGCCCGU
rnacentral:rRNA from 1 species